AUUGAACGCUGGCGGCAUGCCUUACACAUGCAAGUCGAACGGCAGCACGGGAGCUUGCUCCUGGUGGCGAGUGGCGAACGGGUGAGUAAUACAUCGGAACGUACCCAGGAGUGGGGGAUAACGUAGCGAAAGUUACGCUAAUACCGCAUAUUCUGUGAGCAGGAAAGCGGGGGAUCGCAAGACCUCGCGCUCUUGGAGCGGCCGAUGUCGGAUUAGCUAGUUGGUGAGGUAAAAGCUCACCAAGGCGACGAUCCGUAGCAGGUCUGAGAGGAUGAUCUGCCACACUGGGACUGUGACACGGCCCAGACUCCUACGGGAGGCAGCAGUGGGGAAUUUUGGACAAUGGGGGCAACCCUGAUCCAGCCAUGCCGCGUGAGUGAAGAAGGCCUUCGGGUUGUAAAGCUCUUUCGGCGGGGAAGAAAUGGCAACGGCUAAUAUCCGUUGUUGAUGACGGUACCCGCAUAAGGAGCACCGGCUAACUACGUGCCAGCCGCCGCCGUAAGAC
rnacentral:rRNA from 1 species